GGCAGGCUGUAGAGAAUGGCUAAAGAAGUGUUGAAACACGCAUCUGAGGUUCUGGGAUUGGUUUUGUCAUAAUGGCCCAUUCAAACAUUCCUGGCAAAUCAUGUAGCUAUGUGGGUGCUUUUCUAGAAACAUCUUCCCCUUUGGCAUCCCAGGAUAUUUCAUGCUGUUUGCAGUGCAGAUGUUUCUCCUGGGCUUUUCCCUAGAGUUGCUACAGGAAUCAUUCUCUGCUUUGGUGCGGAGGGAACUCUGAGCUGAGACUAUGAUCUUCCAAAAUGCCAGAGUCUUGCUUAUCUGAUUUCCAAGAGUUAUCCCCUAAAAGUCCAGAGGCAAACCUCGAAGAAGAUGCUACGUGAGGUAGGUUACAGCCUGGUGAGUAACGUCCCAAAUGCGGCAUGAGAAAACCUCAUCUUUGCAGAAAAACUGAAAUGCAAUGUUAGGAAAAAGUCUUUUAGGAAAAAAAAGUGGGCAUAAAAUUAUUCCUCUAGUAUUUAAAAAACCCAAAUUAUUCAUUUAUUUUUGUAUCUGAGAUGUUUGACAUUUGUGUGGAUAUUAUUUUUGAAACAAGGAAUGAAUGCAGACAGUUGGGGGCCAAUAAUGAACAAUUGGACUAAAAGCCAUAACCGUGAGCUUAGGGGUACCCCAGGAAUGGUGCUGUUAUUGUGAAAAAUAAGUGUUUUGAAAAAUAACUUGAAAUUCUUAAGAUAGAUCUACCAUUUACAAUUCCACGUGACUGCCGUGGUCGAAGUAGGAUUGACUCGUUAGUCUCCAUGGCUCCAGUCUCUGAAGGUAUGGGUAUUUAGUGUAUGGAAAGCCUUUGGAAGAUAAUUCUCUACCAGUGUGCAGUGAGUCCCCAGUUAAAGUGCUAUAAUAGUGUAGGCUUUCUCAAUUUCCUGUCUGGCAUGAGAGCAGCUUCAUUCCAUAAACAUCAUCAUUAGUAGAAGAGGGGAAAAAAUAAAUGGAGAAACUUGAGACUGUCCAGUGAGUGAGCUCUGCUGUAGGAUGCGGACUGGAUAUCUACCCUGAGGAUGAAGUAGCAGAAAGUUUGCCACGUCUGAUUAUAAAGUGGGCUCUUUUGUAGCCGUUUUCCUGAACCCCUGGAAUAAAGAGGGUUGAUUUGUGAUGGAAUCUCCAGUGCCUGCAGGCAUAUAUUACAGUAUGUUGUAAAUCCAGAGGGUACAAUUUAGAUUUCACGGGGGCCUGGGGGGUAAUUGAAAUUCCAUCUGUUUCUUCCCUGUGGGUUAGAAUCCUAAGACACGCACUCAGGAGAAGAUAUAGGAUUUGCAGUUUUUAAUUUUUAGGUUUAAGUAGAAGCUCACCUAAAUCUGUUCCUCCCUCCUUUUACAUCCUACGUUCAGUUUAAAAAAGAAGAAAAAGAAGAAAGGAAAAAAACUCAGUUUUAAAAGCAGCCAGCCUUUAUUUUCUUCACAGCUGCCCCUAGGCAGCCCCCCUUCCUUGCAGUGCAUGCUGGGUAAUGCCAUGUAUUCUUAGGUUUCCAAUGGCUCCCAUUACUGUCAAUUAGUUACGGAAUGCUACAGAGAUUCAUGCCUGACAGCUCGGGUAAAGGCAGGAGAAAUGGGCUCAGUAGGGAGCGAGGGGCCUGAUUCUUUUUUGUCCACAAGAAAUACCUUUCUCAGCAAGGCUUUUAAUGGCUUUCUCUUCUUUCUUUUCCUCUGCCUGGGCACUCCCCAUGAUCCUAACACACACCAUAUACACAUACACUCAUAUAUUCAUAUGUCAAUGUGUUUGUGUGAAUAUCACAGAAGACUGUGAAAGCUCUUGGGGCAGAAGGCUCUGAAGUAGUUAUACAACCCCUUAGAGCGAGCUUUACAUUCCUACUUAGAUCUUGCUCUGACCAGAUUCCUAACUCGGGUCCCUUCAGGUGACUUGUUCCUAAGUGCUGUCCCAGCCUCUGUUUCACUUGAUAUCAUUUUCUUUGGCAUCUCUCUGACUUCUAAAGGAGAAGCACGUUCAGGCCACAGAUCAUGGGCAGAGCACUGGGCUUCAAUUCCUGGAGUUUAGGCAGCGAAUUCUGCCUGACCAUCCCCACCACUCCCAUGACCUUUAACUUCUUUUUCUCCCUCUUCUUUUUUCUCUUCUUUUGUGACAUCUCCUUUCCCUCCUUGGAAUCACAGAGGACAUUGUUACUCAGGAGAUUUUUCUUUGACUCCUGUAUCAUCUUUUCCUCCCUUCCUGACUUGCCUAAUAUUUAUCCUAACACAUUUUCUGUCACUUUAGCAUUCACUCUCUCACCAUGAGCUUGGAACACCUGACCUGGGUAUUUGAAUAGAUUCCUCCCUCUCCUCAAAUAUAUUUGAGCUUAAAUGCGACCAACACGGAGAGUUCUUCCUGUGUGAAUGGGAGCUGAUGGUGCUAGGAGCCACAAUUCCUGCUCUGUUGUCCCUCCCAUGGCCCCAUGUUCUCUCCAGAGCCCAACGUAUUGUCUAAAGCUGUAUUCCUCAUCUAUAUAUUCCAAUCUCAUUUAUUAUAGCGAGACUUCUUUAAGACAAAUGAUUGUCUUGUUCAACAAACAAACCACAUCUAGGAAUACCACCAUCCGCAAGCAGGAGUUCAAUAAUGCGGCUUAAAAACAGAUUGAAAUGUGUUUUCAGAAUUAUGGAAAACCUGCAUUAGACCAGAAGACUUUUCUUCUUCUGAGUCUGCUGCCAUUGCUCUUUUAUACGAGCCACCAGACCUUCCUCAUGAUUCAAAACAAAGAAAGGUUUAGGAAAGACCUGAUAGGAAAAUACCAGAUGCUAAUAAAACACAAUGAGCACAAUGCUUAAAGUCGUCUGUUCACCCAGAUGGAUACGAAAGCAAGGAUGGGCUAAAAAUAGCAGGAGAUGACACACUGGAGAAGACACGGCCUGCAGCCAUGUGUGCCUGGGUUAUUCAUAGUCUCAGCUCCUUCCUUCCUGGAACCUGGCCUAGUGAGGGACUCACCAAAGGCUGGCAGAGGGAGACAGUCCUAUUCUGUCUCAUCCAGCCAUCUGUGGAAGGCAGAGUAGGGAGGCCCAAGAAAAGGGUAUUGUGGUAGAAGAAAUUAGGGCCAGGUUCUUGGGCCUUAGAGCCCAAGAGUUAGGCUGCAAGCUUUUAUUUCCUGGGUAUUGUAGUCAGGGAACUACUGAGAAGACCCUAUUCAGAAGGGUUUGACAGAAAACUGUCGAGGCUUUACACUGUCAACACAUUUGAGUUCUUACUAAUGAUACCAUCUGAAGUAAGUAGCCAAUGCUACCUCAAAAGCAAAUCUGCUGUAGUUCUCUGUCCUUCAAACUCUAAUAUGCCAACAGCUGACAUGGCAGCUCACUAAAAAGGCGAUUCUGAGAAGGAUCUUGAGGCUCCACAUUUGGAAGACAUUCUCCAGAGAUACCCUUGUUGCCAGUCCACUGACUCUCAAGUCGUAAGAUAUCACUUUACCAUCCUGUCACACAUUAAAAAGUGAUUUGUAAUGAUAAAUUGUCUUUAACCCGAAUUAAAUAAGCAAUAGUCAUUAUCAUAUCUGUAAUUCUACAGAUCAAAAAAAGAAGAUGUAUUUGUAUCUACGGUCCAUGCAUUUUUUUAAGAUAAGCUAAUCUAGGAAGAGCUAUGAAAUAAUAACACACAGCCUAGAUGUACUAAUGUGGUUUAUCCAGUGGAUUUUAUGUAUAGACGAGGCAGAAAUUAUUAAAUGAGUUUUCCUCUCCAAUGGAUUUGUUUUCACAUGAAAAACACCAAUGGCACUGAGUGGUGAAUGAGGUCGGUUGGAGAACAGUCUUGCUGUCUACCCAGCUCCUACUUUCUUGAAGGUGAGGUGUGAUGUCACUAGUGAGGUAGGUACAUGCCCUUUCUUAGUUGUAUGGACUAAAUAGUCAUUCGUUCCUUGCAGCCUUUGUGCGGCAUUUACAUUGUAAUGGCAUUAAGGGGUAGAAUGUGGAAGAGGUGACUGGGCCAUAUGAGCUCUUACUUUGUUGGUGGGAUUAAGGCUGCUAUGAGAGGAUUGAGUUUGGCCUCCUCUCUUUGACUUCUGCUGCGUUAUGACCUAACAAGAAGGCCUUCAAUAGGGGGUAGCACCUUGAUAUUGGACUGUUUGCCUUCCAGAACUGUGAGCUGAUACAUUUCUGCUCAUUACCAAUUACCUCAUUUGUAAUACAGUGUUAUAACAACACAGUUGGACUAAGAUACGUAGGGAACUGUAUCAGUUAUUUCUCUAUUGCUGUGAUAAAACACCAUGACCAAGACUUAAAAAAUAAAGUGUUUAACUGUGCUUUUGGUACCAGAGGAUUAGAGUCCAAAGUGAUGGCAGAACAAAGGCAUGGUGGCAGGAACAGUCGAGAGUUUACAUCUUAAACUGCUAAGAGGAGGCCGAGAACACACUGGAAAUAGCAGGAGUCUUUUGAAACCUCAAAGUCUGCCCCCAGUGACACACCUUCUCCAACAAGGUCACACUUCUUUUUUUUUUUCUUUUUUUCUUUUUUCCAGAGCUGGGGACCGAACCCAGGGCCUUGUGCUUGCUAGGCAAGCGCUCUACCACUGAGCUAAAUCCCCAAACCCUAAGGUCACACUUCUUAAUCCUUCCCAAACAGUUCUAUCAACUGGGAAGCAAAUGUCCAAACAUAUGAGCCUAUGAGGCUAAUUUCAUUCAAGCCACCACAGGAACCUAUACACAGUAUUUGCUUGGGAAGUACAAUAGACUAUUCAUUUACACUUGCGCAGAGUUAAACCUGUUUGUGGCGUGUGCUCUCAUGAACAUGCAGGUGUGAGAUUCAAUUUAUGGAGGCAAGUGACAUUUAUAACUCCAUGAAACCCCCCAAGGGCACAGGCAACAUUUAUGAACCAUUGGCUCGGUGCCAAUUGGGGUGGAGGGUGUCCAGAUUCAAAAUACAAAGAAACAACAAAAAAACCAAAUAUUUUAACACAAAAUGAUAAUUUUGAUAACCUGCAUAAUUUGAAAAACUAUUAGAUGUUUUUGGGCAUUAAAGGGACUUUAUGGAGAAAUAUUACUUUAGAUUAAGAAAGUCCAAGACAUUUCAUCUAAUAGAUUUUGAAUUAGAAUUGGAAGGAAAUUCAGGCUGAGAGGGUAAUGGUUGUGCCAGGCAGGUAGAAGGACAGGAACAAUUAAUUGUGCGGAUAUAAAAAAAAACAUUUAAGUGUUUGGGAAUUUAUGUGAAUAACAUGUUCACUAGAGCGAUUUAUUUGUUUGAAGCAAAUAGGAUAGAGGGACCACGAAGUUGGGGUUCAGUUAAGGAAGGCUUUGAACACUACGUGAGCUAACUGAGGCUUCAUUUGGUAAAUAGUGGAUAAUGCUUUGAGUAGAACAGUGCACCUUAAGAAAAUUAUCUGAAUUGAUUAAUUGCAAUAGUUUGUGUAUAAGAGAGAGGACAGACUGGAUCUGAUGGAAUCAUAAAGUUCAGGGCUGAUGUGGGGUGAUACUGGCAGGGUGCAGAGCAGGCUUAAAAUCAGUUAAAGAAAAUGAGUGUUUGGGGAAAGAGACAAAUUCAAUUUGAGGUACUUUAAUGACUAGUAAGACAGAAAUGUGGGAAAACCCAUUAGACUGUUGUGAGCAGGGCCCUGAUGUAAGACCCUAGCGGAUGCUACGGGCAAUGAAAGUCAUUUCCAAGGAAAAUUAAUGCAGAGGCUGAUCUUGAGAUUCAGACAAGAAAUGUCCAAAUGGAGAAAUAGCAGUUCCAGGGAAAUGGAAUCACACAGAAUAAAAAUGGGGAAAUACUGGAGUGAGGGCUGGGGAGGUGGGGGGAGGGGCAGGCGGUGACCACAGCACUAAAGGCUGCAGAGAGAGUGGGGAAGGCGAGGUCAAGGAGUAGCUCAUUCAGGCCAAGAGUGUGGACAAGCCUGUGCAGAGGAGGGUUCCACACAACUAGAUUUUAAGUGGCGAGCAGGUCGUAAUCAACUUGGGAAUCUGAGUUUUCUUUUCCUUUGGGAAGAAGAAAGUGGGAACUGGAAUAAAAGUGGGUGGAUGGAGGGCUUUUAGACUGACCAUAAUCUUGGGAAAUUGCCAAAAGCUUGGUAAACAGCAGUUAAGACAAGCUUGAGUUUGCCAAAUUAGCACAAACACGGACCUAAAAUACAACAGCAUAAGGUAUGCCCUGGGAGUAGAAAACCAGCUCCGCAGAGCGGCUGGUAAAAAUCUGUCAGUUGCCAAGGAAGAUGUAGGUAGCCUAGCAUGGCUGUCCAGUGAGUGAGUCUAAGCUCUGAAGCUGGGGAAAUCCGGAAACCAGAGUCUCACAAGAGGAGGGGAGGAUAGGAAAUGGCGAUCAAGAAAAAUUGAGACUGCAAACCCCAAAGAUUCUGAUCUCAGUCACUGAGCACAUCACACGGGGCUUCAGCUGGUUGCGGGUGGAAACGAUUCAGGAAGGUCUGCCUCUGCCCUUGAAGACCUUCACUGAAGUCAGGAGACAGAGGUAGUAAUUCUGACUCUGAGGGGAGAAUACACAUCAUGCAGCAGAGGUGGGACAUUAAACAUUGACGACGUGACUGACAUAGCUCCCCAAGGAGCUAUCAGGAACCACCCCUCGCCCCUGCCUUUAUGUCUUUUAUAUCCUUAUAUCUUCCUCAGUUAUCGAAGGAAGGUCACACGGGCUGCACCCUGGACAUGGAGACGUGGAACAGAGAGAAGUUGAACUGAUUCUCUCACAUUGUAAGACUUGAAAGUUAACGCUCAUUACCCUGCCCAGAAUGAGACAGGAAGGCGAUACCUAUCUACCUUCUGGGCCAGCGGUGGAACACUGUGCUGGGCGUGGCAAGCUGGGCUAGGAGGCAGAGACAAGAUGCUCUGUGAGAGAUGAAAGUUACAGCCCUCAAGGAGAAGGCACCCAACGAGAUGCCAGCCCCACAGCUCAUUGACUGCGAAUGCAGGAAGAAGUCUGAGGAGUGCCUUCUGUGACUGACAGGGGGGUCUCUCAUUCUGGACUGAUCUCUCCCUUUCAUCCUCAUACUCAAGAUGCCAUGCCACCUCAGGCCACUCAACCCUGGGAGAAGGGCUGGCUCUGCCAUUUUUUGGUGUGUGACUUGACCAAGUUGCUUGGGACAGAGGAACCUCAUUUCCCUCAUGCAACAGAGUGAGAUGCUCAUAGGGAGAGCGCCUGGAAUAAGCAACUGCAGGACAUUCCUGUCUUUCAUCUCUCCAAUCUAAAGACAAAACCUGGGUCAAUGAAAUGGCUCAGCAGGUAAGGACAUCUGCUGACAACUACUAAGCCAGCAAGCUGGACAGCAGGAAUUUGAUCCUUGGAACCCAUGUAAGUGGAAGAAGAGAACCAAUUACUGGAUGUUGUCCUCUGACUGCCAGAUUCCUGCUGUGGCAUAUGCAUGCGCACACAUAUGCACAAAAAGGAAGUAAAUAUAGGCACUAAAAGAGGAAAUCCAAUCCCAGUACAGAUAGCUGUGAGUCACCAUGUGAAUGCUGGGAAUUGAACUCAGGACCUUGGGGAAGAGCAGUCAGUGUUGUUCACCACUGAGCCAUCUGCAAUAUAUAUAAAAUGAAAUCUCUGUUUUUCUUUUUCCUGUGACUCUCCCCCACUGUGCCCUCUAUUUCCUUCUUAACACCCUGGGUUGGAAUCCUCUUCUCUGUAUUUCUUGGAAUAGCCCACAUUCUCAUGUUCCUUUUCCCUCCUUCAAAUCCCUCUGUAAAACUUCUUUUUCUUGGCCUUCCAAUUUUUCCCUUGCUCCUCAGCAUCGUCAAAGGGAGGUGGCGACGGCUCACCAUUCACUCAGUGCUUUGUUUAUGUCUAAAUCAGACAGUCAAAGCCUCAAGGCCGAGGUUUCGUUCUCCCAGGUCCACGCUUUGCAAAAUGCCAUCUGCGCUUACCACACUGUAUAAAUAAUAAAUAAUCAGAGCAAAGAAUCAGUAAACGGGUGCCAGAUUGCUGAUUAGCACAAGCACUCAACACAUUCAGAGUUGCUGCUGCCGCUGCUGAGACAAAACUGGUUUCUCCAGGAAAAACAGAGCAGUGAAAAGGAGCCUUGGAUGAGAUUCUUGGUCACAGUUCAAUUUGGAUGAGGCGGAGGACAAACUGUGGAUGGAAGGGCUCCCAAGGGCAGCUUUCCUUCCUGUCUUUUAAAGGAAUUUUCAUGAGGACCAAAAGCUCUCUCUGGUUAUUUCUUCUGUACCUUGGCCCAGGGCCUGACAGGAAGGAGGCAUAUCACAGACAUAUCUCUUAAUCUAUGCCUCUAAACACAAGAAUGAACUUUUAGCUCAUCUCAGUGCCUAGCUUUGGAGGCAGACCCCUCCUCCCAUCUUUUACUUUAUUCUUGUUUUCUAUUAAUAGUGUUUUGCCUGUGUGUGUGUGUGUGUGUGUGUGUGUGUGUGUGUGUGUGUGUGUGUGUGUAUACCUCUGCAAGUCAGAGAAAAAUCUUAGAAUUUCUUUGAAAUAGAGUUAGAGAUGGUUGUGAGCCACCAUGUGGGUGCUGGGAGGCCACCCCUAGCCAGUGAUAUUAACCAUUGAACGACCUCGCCACCUCCUAAUUCUUGAUUCUUGAUUCACUUUGAGACAUUUCUAAUCACCUAAGGAACUAUACUUUUAUAUUAAACCACAUUAGGUAUUAAUAAUUUAGUACUCAAACUAAUAGUCAAUUUUAUGUGACUUUUUGGUUAACAAGGCAGAUGGAUAGCUCUAACAUACAAUGCAUAUUUUUAUUGUGUGUGGUUUAACUGUUAUUUGUUAUAGGGCAUGUGUCAGGAAGGAAGGUUAGAGACAUGAUAAGUAAUCUACAGUGCUUACUGCAUUCUGGGUACUUCCUCAAGAUGCUGAGGCUUCUCUUCCUUUAAGGUCCCGAAUCUAUGAACUACUGAAGAGUGGGAAAUUGGUUGAAUGGCCACAUAUCUCUAUUGUACAGAUUCCACUCAGUUUGGUUGAACAAACCUGAAACUCCUCUGAAUUUACAAGGUGAGACCCCAGUAGACUGUACUGUCCAUCUCUUAAGCUUUAGGGCCACUGCAGUGGUGACUAAUAAAGCCACCGAAGUGAGCUACCAGACAAUAGUAGAUUCUUUCUUUCCCACCAUUACGCUUACUGCCUUGGUCCUAUUGCCUGUGACUGAGACUAUAUCCCCUUUGGUUUUGGUGAUUAAUUCUGCCUCUUGAAUUCUUCCACUCCAAGAUCCAAUCAUUCACACUGAAUUCAUAAGGAAUUAACACUUAGCUCAACUCACUGCCUUACUCUGGAAUUAUUUGGACCAGUUAGACGGCACAUAAGAAGAGGUGUUUCAUAAAAACACCCCUUAGGCAUGUUUUUCUUAUAGACUAGGUAACACGAAUGUCCUCUGAAUCCUCUUGGGGGACAAGCUAGGAAGGAACAGUAUUACAAGAUAAAUCCAUGUUCAGAUUUCAUGAAACCUUCAUAUACCUUCCUCUUAAGUAUUCUAACCCAAAUGUUUUAGUCUCAGACUCUUUUGCAGUUUCAAAAAUUGCAGAGAACUCUAAAGAGAUUUGAUUUGGGUGAUAUCUACAACUACCUUAUAUGUUUUUAAAAAUUUAAAGCUGAGAUGUUCAAUAAACAGUCCAUUGAUGAAAUACCAAAAUGUACUAAGCGUUUGAAAGGUUAAUUACAAUGUGAAAUGGAUAGUACAUUGAUUCUUCCUUCUGUUGAGAUCCAUUGGUUAAUCUUGAACUUGGAAAGAUCCUUUUAUUGAUUUGUAUUUAUUUGUAACAUUAUAUUGUGGUCACUUGCAAAAUACUAGUUCACCGAGUUAUCCAGCUAUCUGAAUUGCCAACUUCUUUCAUCAUUAAAGACGAAUAUUAUUCAAGGUUAAAAGUCCCAUUUGCUAAUAUCAAAAAUUAUAAUGAUCUCAAAGCUUAUGAUGGUGGAUAUGUGUUUUCCAAAUCCCAUUUUCAGUCUGCUGGUCCAGAGGGACACAGGUUCAAUUUCCAGGACCUACAUUGAAGCCCAACUGUUGUCUUUUUCUCCAGUUCCAGGGGUUCUGACACCCUCUUCUGGCCUCUGAGAGUAUCAGGCAUGCACAUGGGUAGACAUACAUGCAGGCAGAACACAAGAGAAAACAAUAGCACUGAUAAAGAUGUGCUUCCGUUAUCAAGGCCAUGCCAGUCACUCUUUGCUGCUCAGGCAUGUGCCUUGUUGUCAACAUCACUCUCUGGAUGCUGUACCUAUCCAAGUCUGCCCAGCAAUCUCCGUCUUCCUUCCCUGUCCCAUCACCUUCAGUACACAUUCUGCUAUAUUGUCGAAGUUUUCUGUCUGUAAAAAUGGGUAAAUUUGUGAGAUCCUUUUUAUAUUCGUGUACCAACUCUCUGAUGUUAGUCUCUGAUCCAACAACAGCCUGAGUCUUGUGAUGGUUUUAAAGUCAACCAAGAAAAUUUUUGAGAAUGAAAAUGAACACACAAUUAUACAACAGAAGAAGCAGGACAGGAGGAUGAAAAUGUACACUCUCCCUAUUUGCGACCUCAUCCUCAGAAUCCUGAAGGGAUGUAGAAAAAUCAUUCUAACCCACGGAGGUUAGGGUUGUCUCCUUGUUAAAUAGGCUCUCAAUGCAGAAGAAUACAGAGAAACAGCUGCCCGCCUACCACAUCACAUCUUCUUCUGUCCAUAGAUGAGGUUGCAUUAUAACUUUCUGAGAUGGCCAUUCUCCAUUAUCAGUUAAUUGGAUUUAGCGGCUGGAGAGAUGGCUCAGAGGUUGGGAGCACUGGCUGCUCUUCUGGAGAUCCUGAGUUCAAUUCCCAGCAACCACAUGGUGACUCACUACCAUCUGUAAUGGGAUUUUCUGGUGUGUCUGAAGACUGUGAUACUGUACUCACAUACAUUAAAUAAAUAAACAAAUAAAUCUUAAAAAAACAGUUAAAUGGAUUUAGAAUAGAUAUAUCUCUCGGGGGAGGGGAGUUCCUGAGACGUUUAACUGGGGAAGGAAGACAUUCCUGAACUGUGGGUAGUACAAUCCCAUGGACUAGGGCUCUCACUGAGUAAAAGGGAAAAGGGAGAACUCCAGGUGAAACUAGGACUUAGCUCUGCUUGAUUCUUGACUACAGAUACAAUGUGACCAGUUGCUUCCUGUUCCCACCACCAUGCCUUGCUACUGGAAAGAACUUAAUCCCGUAAAACCAGGAGCCCAAAACGAAAUAAAACCAAACAGAAAAAAAAAACCCAUAUUUUUUUUCUUUUAGUUGCUUCAGUCAGGUACUUUGAAAAGUAACUAAUGCAGUCACUAAAGUAAAAUCCUAUGACUAGAGUCAGGCUGGAGGAGACAUUCAAACUCUACCAUCCAAUAGCAAUGGAUUUGAGCAAUUUCUUAAUUUCGUGGGGUUUCAGUUUCUUAGUAAGUUGGAAUGCAGAGGGAAUUCAGGCUCAGUCGAUACUAUACUGAUUUUAAAACUAAAACUUUGGGCUGUGCAUAGUAACACAUCCCUUUGAUCCCAGCAUUAGGGAGGCAGAGGCAGGAGUUCUAGCCUGGUCUACAUUGCUCCAGGACAAUUAGGGCUGCACACAGAGAGACCUUGUCUCACAAAACCACCCGGCAGAGCUGUGAAGCUUGCAUAU